UUUUUUUUCUUUUUAAAAUAGUGACAAGGUCUCACCAUGUUUCCCAGGCUGGUCUUGAACUCCUAAGCUCAAGUGAUCUGCCCGCCUGAGCCUCUCAAAAUGCUGGAAUUACAGGUGCUUCAUACUGCUAAGUUAUCAAAGGUACUUAUUUUUGAAGCUUCCUGUAAAUUAAAAGAGGAGCUUGGAACCUUCAUUUUGUUGUGACAGUUAAUCACGGUUGUUAUGUUAGAACUUGCCAUGCAGAGCUAGGCGAUUUUUUAUUUAGGGUACUUCAUUUUUAUCAAGCAUUUGAAAGGGCCACCAAAGAGUUAAAAAUAAAAUUUGGUUAGAUUACUGCUUUCGUUGGUGAGAAAAACAUUAAUUGCAUCCUUUAAUUGGCUUUAAGUUAAAGACUGACAACAUGAACUUUAAAAAUAUUAAGUAUUCUUUUAAAUAUGGGUCAAAAAAGUAUUUAACUUUAAAUUUCAAGUUAUAAGCACAUCAGUUUAAAGUUCUUACAAAUAUUGGGGGUGGGCUAGAGUGUGCCUUCUUUGUAUUUAUAGCUAGAGGAAGAUUAGCCCGUGGCGCAAUGAAAUAUGCGAGAGUUAAGGGGUUACCUCCUUGGUGUAUUAUUUUAAUUAUUUAAUGAUUUGACUUUCAGGUUACAGAGAAGAUCCCAGUAAGGCAUUUAUAUACAAAAGAUAUUGACAUACAUGAAGUUCGUAUUGGCUGGUCACUAACUACAAGUGGAAUGUUACUUGGUAAAGCUUCUUUUUGACUGAUGUGGGCUCAUGAAUGUUCAGGAGGGUCUGAUUUCAGUGUUGUUUAACUAGAGGGCAUUCUAAGCCUUUUGUCUGUUUUUAUCUAUUCUGUUAAUACUUCAGACAGGUUAUAUUAGCGCAUAGUAGGCACAGGCUACAUUUUAGUUUUUGUUCCUUUAUUAGAAGUUUAUGACCAGUGGUUGAAAUAAAAUCUUACCCAUGAUAUGCAAAUCGUCAACUAAUUUGGUCUCUGCGUAUAUAUCCCUCCUAACUUCCAUCAAUUCUGGUACAGAGAUAGAAAAGUAAUAGUGUCAGUGACAGGUGAUUAGGUUAUAUGCUUAUUUCUCUUGUAGCCUACAUCUUAAGUAGUAAAAUAGAUGAGUCUUUGGACUAUUUUAAACAUCUACUUCAUGAAGAUUAAUUAUUUUCUUAGGUGAAGAAGAAUUUUCUUAUGGGUAUUCUCUAAAAGGAAUAAAAACAUGCAACUGUGAGACUGAAGAUUAUGGAGAAAAGUUUGAUGAAAAUGAUGUGAUUACAUGUUUUGCUAACUUUGAAAGUGAUGAAGUAGAACUCUCGUAUGCUAAGAAUGGACAAGAUCUUGGCGUUGCCUUCAAAAUCAGUAAGGAAGUUCUUGCUGGACGGCCACUGUUCCCGCAUGUUCUCUGCCACAACUGUGCAGUUGAAUUUAAUUUUGGUCAGAAGGAAAAGCCAUAUUUUCCAAUACCUGAAGAGUAUACUUUCAUCCAGAACGUCCCCUUAGAGGAUCGAGUUAGAGGACCAAAGGGGCCUGAAGAGAAGAAAGAUUGUGAAGUAAGGGAUUUUUUUUUUAAAACUGUGGCAUUUGAAUAUUGCUUGCCUGGCACAAAAUGACAUUUAGAAGAACUAGAUGAUUAGUCUGUUUCAUUUACUUUGUGCUGUGCAUAUUGCUCUUAAGUAACUGUUUCCCCCUUAUGUUGACUGUUAAUCUUUCCAUAAACAAGUUUUUGUCCCUUAGUGUAAGGGCUAUGAAAACUUAGAUAUUUAAAUUGGCCUUAAAAAACAAUAUUUAAAGAAUUAUUAGGUGGUGUCUACUGACAGUGAAAUGACAUUUCUUUUCUUUUCACUAGGUUGUGAUGAUGAUUGGCUUGCCAGGAGCUGGAAAAACUACCUGGGUUACUAAACAUGCAGCAGAAAAUCCAGGGAAAUAUAACAUUCUUGGCACAAAUACUAUUAUGGAUAAGAUGAUGGUAAGUAAAAUGUUUAGGGCCUGAUCUCAGUGUUUAAAAUAGACUGGGAGAGGCUGGGCAUGGUGGUUCACGCCUGUAAUCUCAGCACUUUGGGAGGCUGAGGUGGAUGGAUCACCUGAGGUCAGGAGUUUGAGACCCACCUGGCCAACAUGGCGAAGCCCCGUUCCUACUAAAAAUUUAAAAAUUAGCUGGGUGUGGUAGUGGGUUCCUGUAAUCCCAGCUGCUCGGGAGGUUGAGGCAGGGACAAUUACUUGAACCUGGGAGGCAGAGGUUGCAGUGAGUUGAGAUCGUGCCAUUGUACUCCAGUCUGGGCGACAGAGCAACACUCCGUCUCAGAAAAAAAAAAGAAAAGAAGAAAAAUUAUAGACCGGGAGGUAUUCUAGGUAAACCUUUUGCCUUUGUGUCUAUCCAUUUUGUUAAUAUCUUAAAGAGAUGGGAGGAAAGGCAAGAUUAAGUUGGUUCUUUCAACUCUGAGGGUAAACUGCCUUCCAGUGGCUAGGCUUCUGUUUUUUUCCGUAGUGUUUUUGAGCUCUUAACAUCUAGCAGCUAAAAAGAAUUGAGUAAGUGUAAGGUCUUGUUACAUAGUUUAAGUGACCUGUUUUUGUAGCAGUAAUGGACAAAGGUAAUACUUAAAUUAUAAAAUGUUGCCUGCUUUACAUAUAGAUAUGAGUUGAAUUUUAAAAAGCAUAACUUACUAAAAUUCACAAGUUCAAGGGGAAAUUUUAACUUUUGAAUAUAGGUGGCAGGUUUUAAGAAGCAAAUGGCAGAUACUGGAAAACUGAACACACUGUUGCAGAGAGCCCCCCAGUGUCUUGGGAAAUUUAUUGAGAUUGCUGCCCGAAAGAAGCGAAAUUUUAUUCUGGAUCAGACAAAUGUGUCUGCUGCUGCCCAGAGGAGAAAAAUGUGCCUGUUUGCAGGCUUCCAGCGAAAAGCUGUUGUAGUUUGCCCAAAAGAUGAAGACUAUAAGCAAAGAACACAGAAGAAAGCAGAAGUAGAGGGGAAAGACCUACCAGAACAUGCGGUCCUCAAAAUGAAAGGCAUGGAAUUUUAAUUCUGUUACUGUGUGAAAUCUUUUUUUUAAAAGAAUGUUUUUCCUACAUAUUCUGCUUGUGUAACUAUGUUAAAUCUAUUAGGACUUAAGCCUCCUGAAAGUUAACAUUUUUUCCAGCAAUACUGCUUCAGGAAUUAAAAUUGCAGUUGUUACAUAUGCAUAUAUGUUUGGUCUGUUUUUAUUUUUAGGAAAAUAUGUUACUAAACCUCAAGAAUUGUCAGCUUUAGGAUUGUGAGGAUUCGUGGUGGGUUUCUAAGUUACUAAUAUGACUUUGUUUCCUGCAGGAAACUUUACCCUCCCAGAGGUAGCUGAGUGCUUUGAUGAAAUAACCUAUGUUGAACUUCAGAAGGAAGAAGCCCAAAAACUCUUGGAGCAAUAUAAGGAAGAAAGCAAAAAGGCUCUUCCACCAGAAAAGAAACAGAACACUGGCUCAAAGAAAAGCAAUAAAAAUAAGAGUGGCAAGAACCAGUUUAACAGAGGUGGUGGCCAUAGAGGACGUGGAGGAUUCAAUAUGCGUGGUGGAAAUUUCAGAGGAGGAGGCAAGUUAAUUUUGAGUGUUCUGUAUUUAGUUCAGGAUCGAAACAAGUGAUAAUUUUAUAGUUUGGAUGUAGCUGAAGUUUCUUCCUCAUUAAUGGUAUACAAUUUUAUAGUUUGGAUGUAGCUGAAGUUUCUUCCUCAUUAAUGGUAUACUGUCACAGUAACUAAAGUAUUCAUGUGAUGUUAAAUACACCUAGGUUAUGUUAAUGGUUAGAAUUAAACAUUUCUUUUGUCUUUAAACAAUUAUUUUUGGAGAAAAAGGAACAAUCUAGAGGAAUCCUAAGUCUUCUGUAUAAGUAGGGUACAAUAUACAAUGAAACUAAAACAGCUCUUGUUUUUUAGCCCCUGGGAAUCGUGGCGGAUAUAAUAGGAGGGGCAACAUGCCACAGAGAGGUGGUGGCGGUGGAGGAAGUGGUGGAAUCGGCUAUCCAUACCCUCGUGCCCCUGUUUUUCCUGGCCGUGGUAGUUACUCAAACAGAGGGAACUACAACAGAGGUGGAAUGCCCAACAGAGGGAACUACAACCAGGUAAUGAUUCAAGAUCCCUGGAAGCAUGAUUGAUAACUGUAGCUUAGUCUGGAAAGGUGUGAGCUUUAUGUUGGGGUGUCUUAGUAAUCCGUAAGGAACGUGAUAGGCAUUGACAUAAGGAAAAUUGAACUAGUAAUGGUGAAAUGAGUCUACUUACUUUUGAGUUUUUUCAGGUGUACUAAACAAGUCAGAUGCAUUUCUCAUAAUGAAUAAAAAAUUAAAACAUUAAGAAACCAGCAGAGGGUAUCCAGAAUUUGUGUAUUGCCCCCUAAGAUUAGGGGCUAGCAACCUGUCCAUUUCUGCUCCUCUCUCCCACCCCCACAAACCUAACAAGCAAUUGGGCUCAGAGCUCUUAGAGAGUAUUUCCUUUUUGUAGAACUUCAGAGGACGAGGAAACAAUCGUGGCUACAAAAAUCAAUCUCAGGGCUACAACCAGUGGCAGCAGGGUGUAAGUAAUUUCUUAUGUGCUUUAUGUACAUUAAUUGUAUUUUGAGUUCCUAAGAUUUAUCAGUCUUGAAAAAGAUCUUGUCCAGGGAUUGAAGUGUUUAUAAGUGUUAAUAGGGUAAAGUGUGAAUCGUCUUGCAGUAGUAGCCAUAAUCUACCUUUUGAAGGCAAAAUAGGUUGAAGAUUGCUAUAAGUUAAAUUUUUUUAAUAAAGUAAUAUUAUUUAAUAUAUACAGUUCUUUUACUGCUAGCUUUAAUUGUGUAAACUAACAAAGUCAUGAUGUUUCAUUUUGUAAUGUGUAUUGAUAAUUAUGGGAUAUUAAAACUAAAUCUGGUUUGGUAGAAAUCAGAGGUAUGACAGGUAUAAAUUUGUUUCCAGCAAAUUACUCUGAAUUAGAUUCAUUGUCAUUUCCUAAAAACAGUUUGAGUGGCUUAUUGAUGUUUUUUCUUUAAAAACAAAAUUUUCUCUUACAGCAAUUCUGGGGUCAGAAGCCAUGGAGUCAGCAUUAUCACCAAGGAUAUUAUUGAAUACCCAAAUAAAACGAACUGAUACAUAUUUCUCCAAAACCUUCACAAGAAGUCGACUGUUUUCUUUAGUAGGCUAACUUUUUAAACAUUCCACAAGAGGAAGUGCCUGCGGGUUCCUUUUUUAGAAGCUUUGUGGGUUGAUUUUUUUUCUUUUCUUUUUUGUACAUUUUUAAUUGCAGUUUAAAAGUGAAUCGUAAGAGAACCUCAGCAUUGUGCACGAUAAGAGAAUGUGUCAGUAUUUCAGGGUUCUACAUUUUAUC
rnacentral:sRNA from 1 species